rnacentral:rRNA from 1 species
AUUGAACGCUGGCGGAAUUUGCUUUACACAUGCAAGUCGAACGGCCAGCACAGCAGUAGCAAUACUGUGGGUGGCGAGUGGCGGACGGGUGAGGAAUACGUCGGAAUCUGCCCAGUCGUGGGGGAUAACUAGCCGAAAGGUUAGCUAAUACCGCAUACGACCGAGAGGUGAAAGCGGGGGACCGCAAGGCCUCGCGCGAUUGGAUGAGCCGACGUCGGAUUAGCUAGUUGGCGGGGUAAAGGCCCACCAAGGCGACGAUCCGUAGCUGGUCUGAGAGGAUGAUCAGCCACACUGGAACUGAAACACGGUCCAGACUCCUACGGGAGGCAGCAGUGGGGAAUCUUGCGCAAUGGACGAAAGUCUGACGCAGCCACGCCGCGUGAGUGAAGAAGGCCUCGG